rnacentral:rRNA from 1 species
GUGGUUUAAUUCGAUGCAACGCGAAGAACCUUACCUGGUCUUGACAUCCACAGAACUUUCCAGAGAUGGAUUGGUGCCUUCGGGAACUGUGAGACAGGUGCUGCAUGGCUGUCGUCAGCUCGUGUUGUGAAAUGUUGGGUUAAGUCCCGCAACGAGCGCAACCCUUAUCCUUUGUUGCCAGCGGUCCGGCCGGGAACUCAAAGGAGACUGCCAGUGAUAAACUGGAGGAAGGUGGGGAUGACGUCAAGUCAUCAUGGCCCUUACGACCAGGGCUACACACGUGCUACAAUGGCGCAUACAAAGAGAAGCGACCUCGCGAGAGCAAGCGGACCUCAUAAAGUGCGUCGUAGUCCGGAUUGGAGUCUGCAACUCGACUCCAUGAAGUCGGAAUCGCUAGUAAUCGUGGAUCAGAAUGCCACGGUGAAUACGUUCCCGGGCCUUGUACACACCGCCCGUCACACCAUGGGAGUGGGUUGCAAAAGAAGUAGGUAGCUUAACCUUCGGGAGGGCGCUUACCACUUUGUGAUUCAUGACUGGGGUGAAGUCGUAACAAGGUAACCGUAGGGGAACCUGCGGUUGGAUCAC